rnacentral:rRNA from 1 species
UACGUAGGGUGCGAGCGUUGUUCGGAAUUACUGGGCGUAAAGGGCGCGUAGGCGGUGUGUCAAGUCAGGCGUGAAAGCCCCGGGCUCAACCUGGGAACAGCGCUUGAGACUGGCACGCUCGAGUUCGGGAGAGGAUGGUGGAAUUCCCAGUGUAGAGGUGAAAUUCGUAGAUAUUGGGAAGAACACCGAUGGCGAAGGCAGCCAUCUGGACCGACACUGACGCUGAGGCGCGAA